GAUGAACGCUGGCGGCGUGCCUAAUACAUGCAAGUCGAGCGAAUGGAUUAAGAGCUUGCUCUUAUGAAGUUAGCGGCGGACGGGUGAGUAACACGUGGGUAACCUGCCCAUAAGACUGGGAUAACUCCGGGAAACCGGGGCUAAUACCGGAUAACAUUUUGAACCGCAUGGUUCGACAUUGAAAGGCGGCUGCGGCUGUCACUUAUGGAUGGACCCGCGUCGCAUUAGCGAGUUGGUGUGGUAACGGCUCACCAAGGCAACGAGGCGUAGCCGACCUGAGAGGGUGAUCGGCCACACUGGGACUGAGACACGGCCCAGACUCCUACGGGAGGCAGCAAUAGGGAAUCUUCCGCAAUGGACGAAGGUCUGACGGAGCAACGCCGCGUGAGUGAUGAAGGCUUUCGGGUCGUGAAACUCUGUUGUUAGGGAAGAACAAGUGCUAGUUGAAUAAGCUGGCACCUUGACGGUACCUAACCAGAAAGCCACGGCUAACUACGUGCCAGCCGCCGCAGUAA
rnacentral:rRNA from 1 species